UACGUAGGCAGCGAGCGUUGUUCGGAAUUACUGGGCGUAAAGAGUGUGUAGGCGGUGUUCUAAGUCUGUCGUGAAAUCUCCCGGCUUAACUGGGAGGGUGCGGCGGAAACUGGAAUGCUAGAGGAUGGGAUAGGUAAGCGGAAUUCCCGGUGUAGCGGUGAAAUGCGCAGAUAUCGGGAGGAACACCCGUAGCGAAGGCGGCACUCUGGGCCGGAACUGACGCUGAGGAGCGAAAGCGUGGGGAGCA
rnacentral:rRNA from 1 species